UCCAGACUCCUACGGGAGGCAGCAGUGGGGAAUAUUGCACAAUGGGCGCAAGCCUGAUGCAGCCAUGCCGCGUGUAUGAAGAAGGCCUUCGGGUUGUAAAGUACUUUCAGCGGGGAGGAAGGUGUUGUGGUUAAUAACCACAGCAAUUGACGUUACCCGCAGAAGAAGCACCGGCUAACUCCGUGCCAGCAGCCGCGGUAAUACGGAGGGUGCAAGCGUUAAUCGGAAUUACUGGGCGUAAAGCGCACGCAGGCGGUCUGUCAAGUCGGAUGUGAAAUCCCCGGGCUCAACCUGGGAGCUACAUUCGAAACUGGCAGGCUGGAGUCUUGGAGAGGGGGGUAGAAUUCCAGGUGUAGCGGUGAAAUGCGUAGAUAUGUGGAAGAACACCGAUGGCGAAGGCAGCCUCCUGGGACGCAACUGACGCUCAUACACGAAAGCGUGGGGAGCAAACAGGAUUAGAUACCCGAGUA
rnacentral:rRNA from 1 species